UACGUAGGGUGCGAGCGUUGCCCGGAUUUAUUGGGCGUAAAGGGCGCGUAGGCGGCUCGGCACGUCCGUUGUGAAAUCGCCCGGCUCAACUGGGCGGGGUCAGCUGAUACGGUCGAGCUUGAGCAAGCUAGGGGGCAAUGGAAUUCCCGGUGUAGUGGUGGAAUGCGUAGAUAUCGGGAGGAACACCAGUGGCGAAGGCGGUUGCCUGGGGCUUUGCUGACGCUGAUGCGCGAAAGCGUGGGGAGCGAUCCGG
rnacentral:rRNA from 1 species